rnacentral:tRNA from 1 species
GUCUUCGUGGUGUAGUGGUCAGCACACUCGGCUCGUAUUCGAGAGGUCCGUGGUUCGAGUCCCCGCGACGGCG